CCUGAGAAACCCGAAAGUUCGAAAGGAGAAAUUCAUUCGCGUUUCGACGUGAGCGUUUAGCGGUGUGUUUUGACAAAACGACGGCCCUUGUGGUUACAGUUUUGCGACCUCCGUUUUUCGAUCUUGCAACGAACGCGUGCACUUUUCUCCUAGUAGGACGUCGCGAUCCGUUGGGUGUCGAUUUACGAAUGCUGCAGUGGAGCCCGUUUGUUCCAGCAGAUUUCGAUCUGUUGCCUUUACUCACGGACCUGUACAUUCCAAUCGGCCCGCUCGACGGUAUCAUAGUGAAAGGUUGUGAGCCGCUCUAGUAGCAUUCGAUCCAUUGCAAGCACGCUAGUGUAUUUGGUCAUCGGACCUAGUGCCGAUUCCAAUUCCUAACGACUGUUAGCUUUGAUGUUCUCGAAUAGACUCUAAACCGAUCUGCGACGCUAUUGCUUUGGGUAAUUUCAGGGCCCGUCUUGAAACACGGACCAAGGAGUCUAGCAUGUACGCGAGUCAUUGGGCUUUGCAACCCCAAAGGCGCAAUGAAAGUAAAGAUCUUUCUUCGCGGAUCGAUCUAAGGGAAGAUGAGGAGCUUGGUCCUUUGAUCUGCUUCUUCGCAUUCCCAGGGCGUCUCAUUCUCAUUGCGAGAGGAGGCGCACCAAGAGCGUACACGCUGGGACCCGAAAGAUGGUGAACUAUGCCUG
rnacentral:rRNA from 1 species